CUGAAGGUUAAAUGGAGGGAUGUUGAUGGGUACGAAUACAUGAAAUUUUAUCCGAAUCCGAAUUUGAACAGAGCGGAUUUUCGACGGAUGUGUAUACGGAUAUAGAUUUUGAGUAUACUCGCCUCAAACCCAAACACGAACCCGACCUAACUCAAAUUAAUUUUAUAUUAUAUAAUAUAUAUAGAGUUCGGCUGCAAUGCUAUCGAUAGCACUAAGCACUUAGUGUUAUCAAAUUUUAUGCCGUUAAAUCAACCCUUUUGAUUAUUUUCAUCCGUUAGAUUAUAUUAUUCAACCAACCACCCACUAAACUCUAAGGAAUUAUUAACAUCAUAAUCGUACAUCGCUUCAUCUAAGAUCCAAAAACUUAAUGGUACCGAUGACUAGGUGCUAUUAAUGGUUCACAUAUAUAGAGUGGGUUGGUAUGCUUAGGAAAGCACGGAGCCCUUCGUGCUUUCAAGUUGUUUUCGAUGUUCGGACUUUCGAAUCGACGAUCGGCUCCGUUUGUAACAUAUGGAAACUUGGAGUCGCGAUGUCAACUUUGACCUAGAGGGUCAAAGUGAGGAUUGAGCUAGUUGGACAUUAUCCCCGAGGGAUUUGUGAUGCGUUGGAAUGAGUUCCAAAGAGAAAUAAGUGUGUUGGCGCAAAUUGGGUGCGAAACGAAAUGUAAAGAGAGUAAAGAGAAUUUCGGAUUUCCGACGCUAACUUUGAUUAAAAGAAUUAAAGUAAGGCGGAAGGAUACAUUGUGGUAUCUCCGAAUCAAUUGUGAAGUUUUGGAAAAGCCAAGGGUGUGUUUUCAAAGGGUUUUGAAGAGCUCAGUGCGAAGUGGUAGUGCAAAACGGCCAUGUAUUGGAAUUGGAGCCGAUUCUAUUUCUAAUUCGGCUCAAAUAAUGUCAAAAUGAAAAGGAAUUGCUUCCAAAUUAAAUUGGUAGCUUGGGAAGGUCCCUUGGUGUAUUUUGGAAGUGUUUGGGUGAAAUCGGAGCGAAAACGGAAAAUUUAGAAUUUUCUGUAAGGAACGGGACUGAGAAAAUUAGCAGAAAAUGCACAGUGUCAGAAAAUUACGAAAAUUGGCAGAGAUGUCAGGAAUAUUAUUAUAAGGCUAGUUUUGAAGUUUCAGAUUUUUCUGACACCUGUAGAGAGAGAAAUAGCAUCUGGAAAUUAUCUGAUAAAGAUUACAGUUCGGGACAGUUCGCAGUGACCAAACGGGGUCGAAACUGAAAUGUUAAAAUUUCAGUGGACUUGUUAAGUAAAAACGAACAUUCCUGCCAAAUUUGAGCUCAAUCGGACUUUCGG
rnacentral:lncRNA from 1 species